UGGUCAGUAGGUUGGUCGUGCCACCGGUACGUACUGGUCUCACUGAUUCCUCCUUCCUGAAGAACCGUAAUGCCAUUAAUUUGGUGUUGCGGGGAAACAGGACUGUUACUUUGAAAAAAUUAGAGUGUUUAAAGCAAGCUAACGCUUGAAUACAUUAGCAUGGAAUAAUGAAAUAGGACGAUCGAUCCUAUUUUGUUGGUUUCUAGGAUUGACGUA
rnacentral:rRNA from 1 species